rnacentral:rRNA from 1 species
UACAGGGGGGGCAAGCGUUGUUCGGAAUUACUGGGCGUAAAGGGCUCGUAGGUGGCCAACUAAGUCAGACGUGAAAUCCCUCAGCUUAACUGGGGAACUGCGUCUGAUACUGGAUGGCUUGAGUUUGGGAGAGGGAUGCGGAAUUCCAGGUGUAGCGGUGAAAUGCGUAGAUAUCUGGAGGAACACCGGUGGCGAAGGCGGCAUCCUGGACCAACACUGACACUGAGGAGCGAAAGCUAGGGGAGCAAACGGG